GACGAACCGAGCGAACGUUGUUCGGAAUCACUGGGCUUAAAGGGCGCGUAGGCGGGUGCUCAAGUCCGGGGUGAAAUCCCACAGCUCAACUGUGGAACUGCCUCGGAUACUGGGUGCCUCGAGGGUGGUAGGGGUAUGCGGAACUAUCGGUGGAGCGGUGAAAUGCGUUGAUAUCGAUAGGAACUCCGGUGGCGAAGGCGGCAUACUGGACCACAUCUGAGCGCUGAGGCGCGAAAGCCAGGGGAGCAAACGGG
rnacentral:rRNA from 1 species